rnacentral:tRNA from 1 species
GGUGAGCGUCGCCAAAUGGCUCAAGGCAGUGGAUUGUGAAUCCACCAUGCGCGGGUUCAAUUCCCGUCGUUCGCC